GACGAACGCUGGCGGCGUGCUUAACACAUGCAAGUCGAACGGAAAGGCCCUGCUUUUGUGGGGUGCUCGAGUGGCGAACGGGUGAGUAACACGUGAGUCACCUGCCCUUGACUUUGGGAUAACUUCAGGCAACUGGGGCUAAUACCGGAUAGGAGCUCCUGCUGCAUGGUGGGGGUUGGAAAGUUUCGGCGGAUGGGGAUGGACUCGCGGCUUAUGAGUUUGUUGGUGGGGUAGUGGCUUACCAAGGCUUUGACGGGUAGCCGGCCUGGGAGGGUGACCGGCCACAUUGGGACUGAGAUACGGCCCAGACUCCUACGGGAGGCAGCAGUGGGGAAUAUUGCACAAUGGGCGGAAGCCUGAUGCAGCAACGCCGCGUGCGGGAUGACGGCCUUCGGGUUGUAAACCGCUUUCGCCUGUGACGAAGCGUGAGUGACGGUAAUGGGUAAAGAAGCACCAGCUAACUACGUG
rnacentral:rRNA from 1 species